UAUUUUGGGUAAUCGCUAUAUGAUAUAGAGGAAAGUCCAUGCUCACACAGUCUGAGAUGAUUGUAGUGUUCGUGCUUGAUGAAACAAUAAAUCAAGGCAUUAAAUUGACGGCAAUGAAAUAACCUAAGUCUUUAAGAUAUGGUUAAAGUAGUUUGAAAGUGCCACAGUGACGUAGCUUUUGUAGAAAUAUAAAAGGUGGAACGCGGUAAACCCCUCGAGUGAGCAAUCCAAAUUUGGUAGGAGCACUUGUUUAACGGAAUUCAACGUAUAAACGAGACACAUUUCAGUUAUUGAAAUGGUGUAGACAGAUGGUUAUCACCUGAGUACCAGUGUGACUAGUGCACGUGAUGAGUACGAUGGAACAGAACAUGGCUUAUAGAA
rfam:Staphylococcus simiae CCM 7213 contig00536, whole genome shotgun sequence.